rnacentral:hammerhead_ribozyme from 1 species
AUCCACUCUGACGAGUCCCAAAUAGGACGAAAUGCGCAUCCUGGAU